GAUGAACGCUGGCGGCGUGCCUAAUACAUGCAAGUCGAGCGAACAGACGAGGAGCUUGCUCCUCUGACGUUAGCGGCGGACGGGUGAGUAACACGUGGAUAACCUACCUAUAAGACUGGGAUAACUUCGGGAAACCGGAGCUAAUACCGGAUAAUAUAUUGAACCGCAUGGUUCAAUAGUGAAAGACGGUUUUGCUGUCACUUAUAGAUGGAUCCGCGCCGCAUUAGCUAGUUGGUAAGGUAACGGCUUACCAAGGCAACGAUGCGUAGCCGACCUGAGAGGGUGAUCGGCCACACUGGAACUGAGACACGGUCCAGACUCCUACGGGAGGCAGCAGUAGGGAAUCUGCCGCAAUGGGCGAAAGCCUGACAGAGCAACGCCGCGUGAGUGAUGAAGGUCUUCGGAUCGUAAAACUCUGUUAUUAGGGAAGAACAAAUGUGGAAGUAACUAUGCACGUCUUGACGGUACCUAAUCAGAAAGCAACGGCUAACUACGUG
rnacentral:rRNA from 1 species